GGCGAAGAUGAGACGUUGCUGGUCUGGCGGGAUGCCUUCCUUGUCUUGGAUUUUGGCUUUCACGUUGUCGAUCGUGUCAGAGCUCUCGACCUCGAGAGUGAUCGUCUUUCCGGUAAGCGUCUUAACGAAGAUUUGCAUCCCGCCGCGCAAACGAAGGACAAGGUGGAGAGUUGACUCCUUCUGGAUGUUGUAGUCGGCCAAGGUACGGCCGUCUUCGAGUUGUUUUCCGGCGAAGAUGAGACGUUGCUGGUCUGGGGGGAUGCCUUCCUUGUCUUGGAUCUUCGCCUUAACGUUGUCGAUCGUGUCGGAGCUCUCGACCUCGAGAGUGAUUGUCUUGCCGGUCAAGGUUUUCACGAAGAUUUGCAUCCCACCGCGCAAACGGAGGACGAGGUGGAGAGUUGACUCCUUUUGGAUGUUGUAAUCGGCCAAGGUCCGGCCGUCUUCGAGCUGUUUUCCGGCGAAGAUCAGACGCUGCUGGUCUGGAGGGAUGCCUUCCUUAUCUUGGAUUUUGGCCUUCACGUUGUCGAUCGUGUCGGAGCUCUCGACCUCGAGUGUGAUCGUCUUGCCGGUUAGAGUCUUAACGAAGAUCUGCAUCUUGUUUGGCUAAAUAGAAAAUCGAGAAAGAAAACUUCAAUAUACAAAG
rnacentral:lncRNA from 1 species